UGGGGAAUUUUGGACAAUGGGCGCAAGCCUGAUCCAGCCAUGCCGCGUGAGUGAAGAAGGCCUUCGGGUUGUAAAGCUCUUUCGGCCGGGACGAAAUCGUCUGGGUGAAUAAUCCAGGUGGAUGACGGUACCGGAGUAAGAAGCACCGGCUAACUACGUGCCAGCAGCCGCGGUAAUACGUAGGGUGCGAGCGUUAAUCGGAAUUACUGGGCGUAAAGCGUGCGCAGGCGGCUUUGUAAGACAGCUGUGAAAUCCCCGGGCUUAACCUGGGAAUGGCGGUUGUGACUGCAAGGCUGGAGUGUGGCAGAGGGGGGUGGAAUUCCUGGUGUAGCAGUGAAAUGCGUAGAGAUCAGGAGGAACACCGAUGGCGAAGGCAGCCCCCUGGGCCGAUACUGACGCUCAUGCACGAAAGCGUGGGGAGCAAACAGG
rnacentral:rRNA from 1 species